rnacentral:rRNA from 1 species
UAGGGAAUCUUCGGCAAUGGACGGAAGUCUGACCGAGCAACGCCGCGUGAGUGAAGAAGGUUUUCGGAUCGUAAAGCUCUGUUGUAAGAGAAGAACGAGUGUGAGAGUGGAAAGUUCACACUGUGACGGUAUCUUACCAGAAAGGGACGGCUAACUACGUGCCAGCAGCCGCGGUAAUACGUAGGUCCCGAGCGUUGUCCGGAUUUAUUGGGCGUAAAGCGCGCGUAGGCGGUUUGUUAGGUCAGGAGUUAAAUCUGGGGGCUCAACCCCUAUCCGCUCCUGAUACCGGCAGGCUUGAGUCUGGUAGGGGAAGGCGGAAUUCCAAGUGUAGCGAUGAAAUGCGCAGAUAUUUGGAAGAACACCGGUGGCGAAGGCGGCCUUCUGGGCCACGACUGACGCUGAGGCGCGAAAGCUAGGGGAGCGAACAGG